GUUUGUGCCGUAACUCUCCAUUUGACCCCCAUACUCUUCUUCUUCUUCUUCUUCUUCUUCUUCUUCGCCUCAGCGUUUUCCCAACGACGCAUUGUGCGAAGCGUGCGAUCGCCCCAUAUAUUUGGCACCUCAAAUCCCUAAUUGUUUGUGCUCUUUUCGAUUAGGCUUUGUUAUGCUUCGCGUGGAGGAGAGGGUGUGAGUAGUUCCCGAUGCUGCGCCUCUUAACGAUCCACGGAAGGUUACUGGCAUUUGGAACAAAUAAGAGGUCUUCGUACUUCUCCCAAUCCAACCACCCGACCAGCGUGUCGGCAUCGAGGGCCGAUGGCUCGCCUGUCAAAAGUAAAAUCCGUUCCUUGUUGUGCAGAAUGUUCUCAAACUACAGGAUUCCCAUUAGAAAGCAUAGUUCGUUCGGAGUACCCAGAAUUAAGGGCAAUUCAUACCAUAAUAACUAUUCCCGGGGCUUUUAUUCUCUUUCGAUGACUAGCUUUUCCGCAACCCGCCAUGCCCAAUUCGCUUGGAAAAGACUCAGCCUAAUCAGUUCUCGUAGUGGUCCGAGUUUCCUGCCACUGAGUCGGGCAGCUUGUGCAUUGAGCUUAUCCUUCACUAGAUUCCACCUUGUCCCUGGAAUCCUCGCUUUGGCUUUUGGAAAGGUAGCUUGUUCUCAAAAAGCCCUAGCCGAUGGCUUUUAUGUACCGGCAAGAGAUGGCCUCUACAUGAGAGCUGAAGAUGGCCAGCUUAUUAUUUCUUCUAUCGUAUGUUCGAUCAUAGACGGCUUAUCUUUACUAUUUAGAGCUGUUUAUUUGGCUAUUCUGUUCUUUCCUGCGACAGCGCUGGCCCCAUUUGCCAAUAGUUUUGGCACUAAAUUCAGAAAGAAAUGGCUCUGUCUUGUUCAUCGUACUCUCGAGAUGGCCGGGCCUGCGUUCAUUAAAUGGGGUCAAUGGGCAGCUACAAGGCCGGAUCUUUUCCCCAGUGAUCUGUGUGUGGAGCUCGCGAAGCUUCAUAGUAGAGCCCCUGCUCAUAGUUUUGCCUAUAGUAAGAAAGCAAUUGAAAAGGCAUUUGGCCGUAAACUCCAUGAAAUAUUUGAAGAUUUCGACGAGGUCCCUGUGGCCUCUGGGAGUAUCGCACAAGUACAUCGUGCUUCUCUGAGACAUCACAAGAAAGAAGCUGUAGAUGUUGCCGUAAAAGUUAGGCACCCUGGUGUGGGGGAAUCAAUUAAGAAGGAUUUUUUGAUUAUUAAUCUUGUCGCCAGGGUUUCGAGCUUGAUUCCUGGAUUGAGUUGGUUAAGAUUGGACGAGAGUGUACGCCAAUUUGCUGUUUUCAUGAUGUCCCAAGUUGAUCUUUCUAGGGAGGCUGCUCAUUUAAGCCGUUUUAUCUAUAAUUUUCGGAGAUGGAAGCUUGUUUCUUUCCCUAAGCCAUUAUAUCCUCUUGUGCAUCCUUCUGUUCUUGUUGAGACAUUUGAGCAAGGAGAAAGUGUUUCUCAUUUUAUUGAUGAAAUAGACGGAAGUGAUCGCAUUAGAAGAGAUCUUGCACACAUCGGCACCUAUGCGCUCCUGAAAAUGCUUCUGGAGGACAAUUUCAUCCAUGCAGAUAUGCAUCCUGGAAACAUUCUUGUCCGAGUGCCACAAAGCAACAACCGGAGGAAGAAGCUCUUUAGGAACAGGCCUCACAUUAUUUUCCUUGAUGUGGGUAUGACUGCUGAGCUUUCUAAAACUGAUCGUGGAAAUUUACGGGAGUUUUUCAAAGCUGUUGCUAUUCGAGAUGGCCGCACUGCUGCAGAAUGUACAUUAAGACUAUCUAAACAACAAAAUUGCCCAAACCCAAACGCAUUUAUUGAGGAGUUAGAUAAGACGUUCACGUUCUGGGGAACUCCUGAAGGCGACAUCUUUCAUCCUGUUGAAUGCAUGCACCAAUUGCUUGAGCAAGUUCGUCGUCAUCAAGUUAAUGUUGAUGGCAAUGUUUGCACUGUGCUGGUAACCAUUUUGGUUCUUGAGGGUUGGCAGCGCAAGCUAGAUCCAGAUUUUGACAUAAUGCAAACAUUGAAGUCUCUAUUACUUGAUCAAAAAGAUGCACGUCCAUUCAAUUGUGUUUUCUCCUCGUGAUUUUGACUUCAAAGUAAGAUAUGGGAGGAAGAAAAAAUGGAAGAAGCAAAGAUGUCAUCAGUUCCUUAGGGUACAUUAAUGGCGCACCAAAAGAGGAGGUGACUAUUGCAGAUGCAAAUAUAAAGACGAGAACACAAGGGAAGUGUGAGGUGUUUGAUCUUCUUUGAUCUACGCAAAACUUGGGCCUUAUAUUUCCCUCUCCUAUUAUCCAACAUAAUCCAUCAGAAUUCUUGCAGGAUCAUCAUGUUGUAAUGUUGCGUCCUGUCGAGGAUCUCAAUAAUCCUUGUAUUGGACUUCGACUUAUUAUUUUACUUCAAAAGAAAAUUGAAAUCUACAUGUACAUCACUCUUUAAAGGGGUUUUAUAGAAUGAGAGCUGCACAAUGCAUGAAUUUUGAAGGUGAAUGUUUGCAAAUCCACAUGUACAUAUAUGCAACUUUCAGCUCAAUUUUUGUUAGUAUUUACAGGUGUCGCAUAACACUUUCUUACUAUGAUGCCAUGUGACAUAGUUGGGCAUAAAGUAUACGAAUUGCCCCCAAGUAUUCUGAUACCGUGUCCUUGUACUCUUCAUUUAAAUAUUUGAAUCUUUAAAGUUACACAUAUAUUGCAAUUUA